rnacentral:rRNA from 1 species
UACGGAGGAUGCAAGCGUUAUCCGGAAUGAUUGGGCGUAAAGCGUCCGCAGGUGGCAAUGUAAGUCUGCUGUCAAAGCGUCUGGCUCAACCAGAUAAAGGCAGUGGAAACUACAUAGCUAGAGUAAGGUAGGGGUAGAGGGAAUUCCUGGUGUAGCGGUGAAAUGCGUAGAGAUCAGGAAGAACACCGGUGGCGAAGGCGAGUCCCUGGACAACACCUGACACUGAGGCGCGAAAGCUAGGGGAGCAAACAGG